CAGUCGCCGCGGUAAUACGGAGGGUGCAAGCGUUAAUCGGAAUUACUGGGCGUAAAGCGCACGCAGGCGGUCUGACAAGUCAGAUGUGAAAUCCCCGGGCUUAACCUGGGAACUGCAUUUGAAACUGUCAGGCUGGAGUCUUGUAGAGGGGGGUAGAAUUCCAGGUGUAGCGGUGAAAUGCGUAGAGAUCUGGAGGAAUACCGGUGGCGAAGGCGGCCCCCUGGACAAAGACUGACGCUCAGGUGCGAAAGCGUGGGGAGCAAACAGGAUUAGAUACCCCAGUAGUCCCUGUCUCUUAUAA
rnacentral:rRNA from 1 species